UACAGGUCACCUCACAUAAUAAGAGUAGAUAUUUCCUUUUAGAUGGGCCAGAUUUAUGUGGCCAACUUACCACUUUCCAGAGUGGGAUCCUGAACACACUGGGCUAAUCCAGGCUGCCUCCUCAAACGGAGGAGUCAAGUCCACAAAAUGGUUUAAUUACCACAGCUGAAUAAUAGCAUCAAUUAGCUUGCUACCAAGUUAAUUAGCCCCCCAGAUUGGUGCAGAAGCAGCUUCACUGGCACUUGUGGCUUCACUGCUUAUGGCUGAGGGCAGCAGGGAAGGCGAUUGGGGGAUCAUGUGUUCUGCAUGCCCCAGCAACUGCUUGCAGGUGUCCUCUUUUUUGAUACUGGAAAUAUGGUAACCCUACCCAGGCUCAAAUCCCAGGGGGGGCCUGAAAGUGAGCAGAAAGGAAGUAUUAUCCCCAUUUUACAGCUGAGAAACAGAAACACCAAAAAUAAUUUGCAGUGGAAUGUUUACCUAGCUUCAUGAUUCUCAGACUGGAGUACAGCACCUUGGGGCACAUACAACGCCAUAUAAAUAAAGCAUAUUCUUAUCCUAGUUAAAAGUUCUUUGCAUUUCUACCUUAAAGGGACAUUUGAUUAUAGUCCAAUCACACAACUCUCUAAUUUCCCAGAAAGAGUGCUAUAUGCUGCUAUAUCUACUACCUUUUCAAAAAUCAAGGACAGCAACAAUGAAAUAUCCUGCAGAUACUCUGCUUAACAGAAAAGCCAGAAACUAGACUGCCUCUGAAGCUGGUGAAGUUGAAGGGCACUUCAUGCCCAAAGCAUGUAUAACAUCUCUCCCAACUAUACCAUUUGUCCAAUAAAAACCAUUACUGAACUAACAUUGCUUCUCACAUAUUUCCUGAACCAUCAUAGCUACAGCAACACU